AUUGAACGCUGGCGGCAGGCUUAACACAUGCAAGUCGAGCGGUAACAGAGAGAAGCUUGCUUCUCUGCUGACGAGCGGCGGACGGGUGAGUAAUGCCUAGGAAUCUGCCUAGUGGUGGGGGAUAACUUGCCGAAAGGUAAGCUAAUACCGCAUACGUCCUACGGGAGAAAGGAGGGGACCUUCGGGCCUUUCGCUAUUAGAUGAGCCUAGGUCGGAUUAGUUAGUUGGUGAGGUAAUGGCUCACCAAGACCGCGAUCCGUAACUGGUCUGAGAGGAUGAUCAGUCACACUGGAACUGAGACACGGUCCAGACUCCUACGGGAGGCAGCAGUGGGGAAUAUUGGACAAUGGGGGGAACCCUGAUCCAGCCAUGCCGCGUGUGUGAAGAAGGUCUUAGGAUUGUAAAGCACUUUAAGUUGGGAGGAAGAGCAGUUAACUAAUAUUUGACUGUUUUGACGUUACCGACAGAAUAAGCACCGGCUAACUUCGUG
rnacentral:rRNA from 1 species